rnacentral:tRNA from 1 species
GUAAGUAUAGUUUAAUAAAACCUCAGAUUGUGGAUCUGAUAAUAGAAGACCACAACUUCUUACUUACC